rnacentral:rRNA from 1 species
UACGUAGGUGGCAAGCGUUGUCCGGAAUUAUUGGGCGUAAAGCGCGCGCAGGCGGCCUUUUAAGUCUGAUGUGAAAGCCCACGGCUCAACCGUGGAAGGUCAUUGGAAACUGAAAGGCUUGAGUACAGAAGAGGAAAGCGGAAUUCCACGUGUAGCGGUGAAAUGCGUAGAGAUGUGGAGGAACACCAGUGGCGAAGGCGGCUUUCUGGGACAACACUGACGCUGAAGCACGAAAGCGUGGGGAGCAAACAGG